rnacentral:lncRNA from 1 species
CGUUCGGGCCUACCCAGCAGGUAAGUCUUAGGCCAUCGCCUGCGGUGUCGGCCCCGGGAGCAGCGAGACCCAAGAUUGCAUCAAACGUUUGCCCCGUCUCUGCAUAUGUGACUGGACGUGAAUGAUGCUUCAUUUUGGCACCCCCUUUCCCUGCUCAGGUAGAAUGUAAACAAUUGAAAAAAAUCCCUUCCCAAUCAGAAUACCACCCACAGGACAACGAAGAAAACCUAUCUUCAGUCCCCACCCACGAAAUGCUGGGGGGUGGGGAGGACUGGAAAAGGAGUAAGGGGAGAGGAAGGGUGAGCAGCUGCAAGAAGUCUUUACACCUCUCUGCGGUUCCUGGUAAACGCGCUCAUGUCCUGGGUAUGGAAGGGACUUAAGAAUUCAGGAAAGAUCAAAAUAACGGGCCUCUUCCCCACUCCCUCGCCCUCCCUUCCCCGCUGCUGGGGGGUUAGGGAGGCUCCGUGGAGCUCCAGCACUCUAGAAGGAUCGGGUGAGGCGCGAGGCCUUGCGGGCGGGUGAACCCAAGGUGGGGUGGAAGGCUCCAACCCGCCCAAUCUGAGCCCGAGGCCUGCUGAGAAGCAUGGGGGCCUUGGGAUAGUUCCAGAAUGAGGAUGUGCGUUUCUAGCUGCUUUGCGCCCUCCUCCCCCAAAAAUCUGCUACCACAAUUCCAACCCGGCGGCACGCCCCCAAGACUCCUUUGUCGCCCCAGGGGCGGGACCUGAGCUGUCGAUUUCAGGAGCCCUUCGUGACUUCAAAAGUCCUGGGCACUGUUGCUCAUGAGUGCUGCACAACUGUCGCCCUCUAAAGCCACCUCCAUCCCUCACUGGGCUGGCCUCCUGAGCCUUCGGUGAGGAAACGGGGUUCCGAGUUGCCCGCCUGAGAGCUUAACAGUCUGACUAGAAAAGGGCUAAUUCGCUUUCUGUGCAAAUCUCUUGAGCUAAUUAUUUAAUCUGAAACAUGGACAGGUAAAGGACCAUUGGCGGGCGUGGGGAGGGAGGUGUGGAAUCUUUCCCACACUUUUUGUCACCUUAAAGAAAAAAAAAAGACACCCAAACUCCUCUGGUCUGAAUGGGCUGCCUGGAACUGGGCUUCCCGGGGCCAGGAGUGGGCCCCUAGAAGUUUCCCAGUUUGGGGUGGGGCCGGGGUUCCGAAGUCUAGAGCUGGGAGUCGGGUUCAGCGGCCCGAGACGCUGGCUCUCCCAGACUCCCUUGCGCCGGGGCAGUGCGCGGGGGCGGCUCGGGUCCCUCCCGGGCCGGCGGGGACCCUCAGGCUCCCGGGGCGCCGCCCACCAGCCCGACCCGGCGGCCUAGAAAUCCCCAUUCUGCUCCCGCCUCGCCCCGGCCGGCCAGCGCAGGGCCCCUCAGGCCCGCAAUCUCCAGGCUCAAACGGCGAACAGGUCCCCGCAUCCGCCUGCCUUUGCACUUGGGGGUGGGAGAGCCACCUUGUGACGCCCCUUCUGCCUCUCACCAGCUUCCCCCUUUCUCCCCGUCCUGUACGGUUCCCCCUGGAGCCAGAAGGAAGCCCGGUGCCAGCCAGCCUUCCUGAAAGACCAAGCCCGCGCCAUCCGGCUUCCUCCAGUGGACGCCUGCAGGACCCAGGAAUGUUUUUCUUGAAGGCAUCCAGCAUCUCCAGUUAGCAGUACUGAUUUUUUUUCCCCCCAACAAAGGAACACUACAUCAACACUGUUGGCGGGGACCUGGACACAGAAGACUCCUGUUUCAAGAAAAUACAAUCAUCUCUCAAAGGCUGUAAUUUAUAUGCAUUUUAAAACUCUAGGCAUUGAAAAC